rnacentral:misc_RNA from 1 species
CGAAAACCUGUGAACACGUUUAAAAAUUCGCGUCGGGCGUCGGGGUAAAACCUGCGCCCCUCGCCACCUGCCCGGCCGAACGGCGACCAUACCGGCUUGUCGGUCGUGUCGGGCAACCGAAUCAAAAAUCGGCGCGGGAAGCGCCAAGGACUUUACGAAAUGGGAUGCCUUCCUGCGGAGAGGGGCCGUUCGCGGAUUCCUCGCCGUGGGGCUCAAGAGGCGCCUCCGAACGAAACAUUACACGACUCUCGGCAACGGAUAUCUAGGCUCUCGCAUCGAUGAAGAACGUAGCAAACUGCGAUACUUGGUGUGAAUUGCAGAAUCCCGUGAACCAUCGAGUCUUUGAACGCAAGUUGCGCCCGAAGCCAUUAGGCCGAGGGCACGUCUGCCUGGGCGUCACGCAUCGCGUCGCCCCCCCCC